UGAGGGCUUUAAUUUUCUGGCGCCAGAGACUAAAGUCUCAUUUGCCAUCCCAAACUUGGACAUCUACCUUAGAGUCAUGGUGUGCAGUAGUGUGAAAAUGCUCGCAAGUAUGAUAUAACCAAAUAUAUCACAGUAAUAAUUCAGUCAACAAUAUAUCACAGUGAUCAAUGUCAAAUUAUUCCAAUUUCACGAUAUAUAUAUAU
rnacentral:lncRNA from 1 species